AUUCCUAAAAGCCAAAUUUAACAACACAUCCAGCCUCAGACUCAGCAACUAUACCCCAGACCAUUUGCAUCAUGCUUGGAGUAUACUGUUAGAAUACAGAAAGGCAGCUGUGUAAAGAAAUAAGGGUCAUGAAAUCUGAUGAAGAGUUAUGAGGUCAUAUACAAGAAGGUGGGAAAAUAAGGAGAUCAUCAGAAAAAAAAAAGACUCAGAAGAAAACUAGUGGUUUUUGUUGCUGUUUUGUGUUGUUUUUAUCAACUCUGUGCCAGCCACUCUGACAAUUCACAGAUGCCAUCUCAUUUGUAAAACCAUCUCAUCUGUAAACCAUCAGAGUUGAUCUUCUAUUAUUCUCAUUUUAUAUGCUUGGAAAUUAAUACUGAAAAUUUGGACUGGGUAUCCAAGGCAAGACACCUAACUAGAUGCCACCAGGAAGAACAUCUCCCACAAAAACAGACCAAAAUAUCCAGUAAAUCAGCAUACUCAGAACAGAUCAUCUGAAGGAAUGAACUAAAAGAGAUUAGAAAGACAACCCAGACACCAGGAUGAAAGGGAGAGGAAGCUGGGAAUCCUUCUUGGGGUUGCUGAAUAUGGGACAUGUUCCAGGCCCUGAAUGGCUCUGAGUUACGUCCCUGGACUUUGGGACUCAUUCUGCUCGACUUGAUCCCUGCUCUGCCCAUUGAUCACAUACACACGUUUACACCUGGCAGAAGAGGAAGAGGAGGCAUGAAGGAAUGGCCUCUUCAGAAUGGAGAAAAGUUAAUUAUCCUGUGGAGUGCUCUGAAGAAUGUGGAGAGAAAACCUUCCCCAUGAGAACAUGCCUAAGACAGACUGCUGAAGAAGGCGGCAAAUGGAACAGCGCUGAAUCAGCCUGGUCAUCCCAGUCAAGCCUCCAGACAUGUAAGCACCCUCCUCUGAUCUGCAGAGCUGCCUGGCCCAAAUACUGUUGACCACUCUUGAGUAAGCCCCACCAAGAUCAGCUGAGAACAGUAGAACUGACCAGAUGACUCUAACCUCAUGAAUAAAUCCAAGUGUUUUUUUA